AGUGAACGCUGGCGGUAGGCCUAACACAUGCAAGUCGAACGGCAGCACAGUAAGAGCUUGCUCGUACGGGUGGCGAGUGGCGGACGGGUGAGGAAUACAUCGGAAUCUACUUUUUCGUGGGGGAUAACGUAGGGAAACUUACGCUAAUACCGCAUACGACCUACGGGUGAAAGCAGGGGAUCUUCGGACCUUGCGCGAUUGAAUGAGCCGAUGCCGGAUUAGCUAGUUGGCGGGGUAAAGGCCCACCAAGGCGACGAUCCGUAGCUGGUCUGAGAGGAUGAUCAGCCACACUGGAACUGAGACACGGUCCAGACUCCUACGGGAGGCAGCAGUGGGGAAUAUUGGACAAUGGGCGCAAGCCUGAUCCAGCCAUACCGCGUGGGUGAAGAAGGCCUUCGGGUUGUAAAGCCCUUUUGUUGGGAAAGAAAAGCAGCAGGUUAAUACCCCGCUGUUCUGACGGUACCCAAAGAAUAAGCACCGGCUAACUUCGUG
rnacentral:rRNA from 1 species